rnacentral:lncRNA from 1 species
CUUCCAAAAUCUCGUGCUCUUCUUCAACCAGUUGCAUUUCUUUCAUGGUUGCCUUAGUGAAGAUCAUGACAAGGUAGUAUUGUUUGGGUGCUACUUGGUCUCCAUAAAAGGGCCUCCUCACCUCGAGGUUGGUAAAUUUAAUGACUUGAUGCAAUAUAGAAGUAACUCCUCUCAUCCUGUGUAACCAAUCUCAAUCAACAAUUACGUUAUAGGAAGAGGAAAUGUCUACUACAACAAACUCUAUUGCUGAAUCUUGGGAACCAGCUUCUACAUUGAGGGUUACAAUUCCCAAGGGCUAGUGAGACUAAGCAUUGAACCCUACUGAAGGAGCUCGGGCAUGUUUCAAUUCUUCUUUAGCCAUGUUAAGUAAUUUAAAAAGAUCAUAAUACAUUACCUCAAUCGAACUGCCGGUGUCCACUAAAUUUCUUGAUGACCAAAGGAUCGAUAUGAGGGUGUUGGACAUGCUCUAGAUCAACUUGGGUGAAGAAGAUGUUACCUAGCUCAAAUCGAUACUACCUCAACUUUUUGGUGUUUGGUUGGACUGAGAGUACCUCAUGCAUUUGGUGUACGAUGCGUAUUUUCUCUGGAUUUUAUUCUCGAGAUCGGGUUGGUGUAGUCCCCCAAUCUUCUUGCUCGAUACCACGGAUUUUCUAUCGCUUGGCUCUCCAAGUCAGUGCAGGAUUCGUGUUGCUUCCCUUUCUGACCUCCCCGAUUUGGGUCUUUCAAUCUUUUAGACCUUCCCUCAGAAAGUCCUUCUUUCGCCACUUGGACAAGCUUCAUUAGUUUAUUGUCAACCAAGAUUUGUACCAUUUCGGCUAGCUGGGUUUGCAAACAAUUGAUGGUAGGGAGCAACUGACCCAGUCUCUAACUAGAGGUGGCUUUGGUCGUCCUCUAGGUAUCGGCCAGUAGUUUAGCCCAUCUGUCACCAGGAGUCCUGGGUGCUUCAUGGGUCUCCCUUCAGAUUUCACGGCUACCGUAACAGAUGUUACUUUAUAAUGUCAUCAAGACUGGCUUUGCAGAUGUCUAUAAUCGAUUUUCCAUAAACAACGCCAAUUGUGCGGUGUAGUAUUCGUGAAGUGGAAGAAAGAAAAUUAAAGAUAGAUGCAUCCGACAGACCAGUGGUGGAAGAAGGUGAUUGCAGACAAUUGCUAGUUGCCAUGGCCAGGUUGUGACACAGAAACAGUGAGUUCGGCCGCCAGAGUUAUUUUUUGGAAAACGGCUCUCCAACGGUCAAGUUGUCUGAUAAAUUUACAUAUCUUUGAGAAAAUAAGGGUUGGUCUUAUAUAGCUCAAUUUAGCGCAUGCCUGUACGCGCCAAUUUUCGUGUUACUAGAUAGAUUGCAGCUCAGCGCAUGUCUGGGCAAGCUAACUAUUGUGUCAAUGAGUAGCCCGCUGAUCUAUCCAUGCCCUUAGGGCCUAGUUGGUAGCUAGCCAUCAUGUCAUCGACGUCUCGAUCUAAACGUUGGGGCUGUCAGAGGAAAUUUCAUCAUGCAAGUUAUCUUCUGUCCCCUGAUGUGCCUCAAGAUCGUCGCUGACUGUUGCCCAUCGACCAAGCUUCGACACGGUGACCAUGCCGAGCUUGCUAGAGAGCGACAACCUUGGCAGUGACGCUUGUCUUACCUCGGACAGAGCUAAUGUUCAGACUUCUUUCAACCGAGCUCCGGCUUGCUACAUUGCGACAGUUUGGAAGUGGUGUCUGACCUAGCAAGGCUGGUACUUGUAGUCGUGUAUAAAUAUAUAUAUAUAUAUAUAUAUAUGGUAACAAUUAGCAGCCAAUAAUUGUAAUUAGGUAGUAUCUAGCUCCUCUCCUAAGGAGUUUGUUAAAUUGUUAACCAAUAAAUAACUUUUGUAAAAGUUUAAGGAUCCAUUCCUUCUUUUUAAUUUUUUUUUUUUACGUUAGAUUAGACUUUUUAUGACCCACUGCUCUAAAAACUUAAACUGUUAAAAAAGAGAAAUUUUUAUGAUUCUAUUCCAUAAAAGCAUACAAAUAGACAACCCCAGUGAAAGCAUACAAAUUUAAUGGCACAAGAAUUGUCAAAAACCUAUUUUUGACUAAGUUUUGGGACCACAAAUUAAGAACCUAUGUAGGAUACACUCAUUUACUUUAGAUGAAUAGUAAUCCUCUCUAUUACACCCAAUAUAAUGGAAAAGUCUAUUGCACAAAAUGAUGAUGUUUUACAUUAAAAUUACGUCGUUUCAUUAUUGAUAUGAUAGAUAUAAAAAAUAUUAUUUUUUGACAAUUAUAUAAUAAUAUUUUUCACACAAAAAAUCAACAAUGUUGCCAAACAAUUCAUUUUUAGGAUCAUUUUCGUUUUUAGUGCAAUUUUUUAAAUUUUUUGGUCAUUUUUUUUUAAUUUUUUAGUUUGUGUUGAUUCUAGGACUCAAAAAUUAAAAUUAUUAUUAUUUAAAAAAAACUAUCAAAAUCUAUAUUCACCAAAAAUUUAAUAUUUUAUUCUUGAUUAGUUUGAAAUUUAUUAUUUUUUUUAAAAAAAAGUUUGUUUUACUUCUUUGAAUUAUUUAAUCAAUACGACCAAAUUUAUAGUAAAACAACUUAGUUGUAAUAUAAAACGACGUAAUUUUGGUGUAGUGAAUCUCUCCAUUACAUUGGGUGUAAUGAAGAGGAUCAUAAUCCACUUUAGAUUAUGUUUGUUGUUGGUGAACUUUCAUAUCUUUUGAUUAAAUUUUUUUACUUUUUCGUCUUCAGGAAUUAGAAAAGUAAAAAAAAAAAAAUCAAUUUAAAAAAAAAACACUAAAAUCAAGAUUAUUCCACAAUAAAAUCUAAAAUAAUAUAAUUUUGAUCAAUUUUUAUUUUAGUAAUCUUUUUGUAAAACUACUAAAAUUAUCCAAUCGAUCUCAAACGUACCUUGGGUGGGAGGUAUUUUCUUGAAGGUGUAGCCAAAAAAAUAUGGCCAUUGAAGAUGCUCUUGCAUGAUUUUCGGUAGGAGAGAGAGGAAGAGAGAGAGUUGCCAAUAUUGCUUCUUAAAUUUGUAUAAUUGUAUGAGAAUUAAACUAGAAUUUGAGCUUCAUCUUAUAUGAGUGUGUGUAUAUAUAUAUAGAUAUAGA